CAGUAGCCACGGUAAAACGAAGGUCCCGAGCGUUGUUCGGAAUCACUGGGCGUAAAGGGAGCGUAGGCGGCGUGGUAAGUCAGAUGUGAAAUCCCGGGGCUCAACCCCGGAACUGCAUCCGAUACUGCCAUGCUAGAGGAUUGGAGAGGUAGCUGGAAUUCUUGGUGUAGCAGUGAAAUGCGUGGAGAUCAAGAGGAACACUCGUGGCGAAAGCGAGCUACUGGACAAUAACUGACGCUGAGGCUCGAAGGCCAGGGUAGCGAAAGGGAUUAGAUACCCGAGUAGUCCCUGUCUCUUAUAC
rnacentral:rRNA from 1 species